rnacentral:lncRNA from 1 species
UUCUGUAUAUACCUGAUUUGAAAUUUUUGGAGUACAAUUGCUAACUGAAACAUCUGCUUUCAUCGACCCUAUGGAUUUAGUAAAACAGAGCUAAUAUUUUCAUACCUUUCGCUACGAAAUUAUCUGUAACUCCCUGUUGUUAAUUCCAAAUCUUGUAAAACUUGAUUUGCCUAAAACUAGAUUGACAAAGCUUUCUAAUGAC